UACGUAGGGUCCGAGCGUUGUCCGGAAUUAUUGGGCGUAAAGAGCUCGUAGGCGGUUUGUCACGUCUGCUGUGAAAACUGGAGGCUCAACCUCCAGCCUGCAGUGGGUACGGGCAGACUAGAGUGCGGUAGGGGAGAUUGGAAUUCCUGGUGUAGCGGUGAAAUGCGCAGAUAUCAGGAGGAACACCGAUGGCGAAGGCAGGUCUCUGGGCCACUACUGACGCUGAGAAGCGAAAGCGUGGGGGAGCGAACAGG
rnacentral:rRNA from 1 species